ensembl:lncRNA
UACUUAUACCCUAUAAGUAUAACUAAAAUUCCUAAUAGCUAUCUCAAAAUUUCCUCAAACUAUCUCUGUCUUCUGAGAACAGUUUCUUCUGCUUGGCAUGCCAGGCCUAGUCUAACCUACUUUACUAUAAAUUAUUCACUAACUCCUUAACUCCCUAACUCCCUAAAAUAACAGACAGUCACCACUCCUUCACUCCUUCAAUCAGAUUUCUAUAGCAGCCCAACUGUCAGCAGCCAACUGCCAGCAGCCCCUUGCUUCAGAGACAGACUUCCUGCUCUCUAGAGAUCCCAGAGGCAAAAGACCCCUAACUGUCAGAGGCUGCUUCCUUUCUUCCCUCACUGCCCAACUGUCCCCCCUAACUUCCUGUCAGAGGGCAGGCUACUUCUUCUCCUCAGACCUGGUCUCCCUGGUAACAGAAUCUUCAGCUCUGGCUCACUGACUCCUAUCUGUUCUGAUCUACUUAGAAACCUUAUUCUCCAGUCUCUUUAGGAGACAGAGGGAGAGAUGAAGAAAAUCCCUUUAACAAUAUACUCCAAGAAGGCAGGUAACUGGCACAGUGAAUGGAACACUGAACCUAGAGGGAGAAUGACUCUUCUUGAGUUCAAAUCUGGCCUCCAACACUGUGUGCUUCCAGUUCUACAUAUACUGCAUACUACAAAACUAUAUAUGAAGUUACUAUUGCCCUUUGUGGUGAAAACACUGAUGAGUAUUCAGGCACAAAUUUUGCUCACACUAAAUUCUCAAUCUCAGAUUGUGGCCAGCAGUUCUUUCUCAGCGCCUCAGGACUUUUCUUACUAA